rnacentral:lncRNA from 1 species
AGCGGCGCUGGCUGGAGCUGAGAUGGAAGUUAGUUUCUAUGUAGCAGAAAUAUGAAACAAAUGAAGCAAAACUGCCCAGAGAGGGGAAAUGCCCCAAGGAUGGGUCUCACUCACGCGCGUACACAGACACACACGCAGAGAGCACUCUCACGCUGGGCAAGCUCGGGAUCGCGCUACCCUUCCCGAGUUGAAUGAUAGUGUUUGGUUUCUGUCUCUUGCCAUGUGCAUGUGUAUAAAUGCUGCGGAUUGGCAUCUGUGUAUCAGAAGUAAUGCCUCUAAGACAUCAUUAGAGAAAAUCUUUCUUAAAAAUGUUGGGUAGUCUGUGACUGCUCCAAACAACAGAAAAUUGCAGAAGUGAUGAUAUAUAACUUUUGAGGCUGAGUCAUAAAAUGCCAUGCAGGUUCCAUGUGGUUCUCUUGAAAAGCUCACUCUAUGGAUGUUCCCUUCUCAGAACACACCUGCCCUGCUGUGAGAGUCCAAAUGGAGUGGCCACAUAAAAAGAGAGGAGAGUGAGAUAGAUGCAGACUCUGGUUCAUGGCACAUUAUCAUCAUUGAUUUGAGCAAAGCAAAAAAAAAAAAAGCAAUUUUAAACUGAUUUCUUCUUGUUAUCAUAUUCUACUCCCUCCCAAACAGAAGGGUAUAAAAUGAAAACCACAUUCAGCUGGACAAAGAAUAUGAAGAGUAGAGGGAAGAGAGAUGACAAUUUUUUUCCCUCUUGCUUAUGGCACUAUUUCUCCUAACCCAACUCUCUGUGAAUGUCUUUGGCUGAUGUAAGGAACCUAUCGACUAGAGGAACCACAUUUUUCUUUUUUUUUUUUUUUAUUUAUUAUACUUUAAGUUCUAGGGUACAUGUGCAUAAUGUGCAGGUUUGUUACAUAUGUAUACAUGUGCCAUGUUGGUGUGCUGCUCCCAUUAACUCUUCAUUUACUUUAGGUAUUUCUCCUAAUGCUAUCCUUCCCCGCUCCCUGCGUCCCACGACAGGCCCCAGUGUGUGAAGAUCCCCACCCUGUGUCCAAGUGUUCGCAUUGUUCAAUUCCCACCUAUGAGUGAGAACAUGCAGUGUUUUAUUUUCUGUCCUUGAGAUAGUUUGCUCAGAAUGAUGGUUUCCAGCUUCAACCAUGUCCCUAUAAAGGACAUGAACUCAUCCUUUUUUAUGCCUACGUAGUAUUCCAUGGUGUAUAUGUGCCACAUUUUCUUAAUCCAGUCUAUCAUUGAUGGACAUUUGGGUUGGUUCCAAGUGUUUGCUAUUGUCAAUAGUGCUGCAAUAAACAUAUGUGUGAAUG